rnacentral:ncRNA from 2 species
CCGGUCGUUGAUCGCGCCGGUGCCCUUGCGAAGGGGCUGAAAAUGGGAAUGCGGUGAGAAGGCCUGGCCCCUUCGAUUCCGCGGCUGUCCCUGCAACUGUGAGCGGUGAGCAUGUUGCAUAGGCUUUUCUGAAACAGGGAAAGCAGCCACUGGGCCGGACGCUAAAUCAUGCGAGGCCUGGGAAGGCCAUGCAGCAUCGCUAUGACCCGCGAGCCAGGAGACCUGCCGGCGUCUGGUCGCUCUU